rnacentral:rRNA from 1 species
GUGGGGAAUAUUGGACAAUGGGGGGAACCCUGAUCCAGCCAUGCCGCGUGUGUGAAGAAGGCCUUUUGGUUGUAAAGUACUUUAAGCGAGGAGGAGGCUACCGAGAUUAAUACUCUUGGAUAGUGGACGUUACUCGCAGAAUAAGCACCGGCUAACUCUGUGCCAGCAGCCGCGGUAAUACAGAGGGUGCAAGCGUUAAUCGGAUUUACUGGGCGUAAAGCGCGCGUAGGUGGCCAAUUAAGUCAAAUGUGAAAUCCCCGAGCUUAACUUGGGAAUUGCAUUCGAUACGGGUUGGCUAGAGUAUGGGAGAGGAUGGUAGAAUUCCAGGUGUAGCGGUGAAAUGCGUAGAGAUCUGGAGGAAUACCGAUGGCGAAGGCAGCCUUCUGGCCUAACACUGACGCUGAGGUGCGAAAGCAUGGGGAGCAAACAGGAUUAGAUACCCUGUGUAGUCC